GUAGGCAGACAUGUGAAAGCAAGGCCUUAUAACUAAUUUAGAGAGCUCGCUUCAUAGAUUAGAAACUGUGAGUUGACUUUCUUGUUAGCACUAUGUGUCAACAAAUAACAUUAGAAUUUACAGGACUGGUUUUGUCCCUACAUCUCUCCAAUCCCUGCAUCCCCAGACGCAGGAUGUCUCAACUACAUUAAUGACAGCACAUUAACUUGCAUCCUCUGCCAGGAUCUAUGAGCUGUGCUGGAAAAAAAAGGCAAGUGACUGAACAGGCUGAGAGCAGCAGGAACAUACAGUGACUUCCCUCUCCAACAGAUCACCCCAACCUGUGAAUUCUGCACCUAAGAUCCAUAGGGUGCCUUCCAUAUUUGAUCCUGUGUUCCCUGAUGCUUCAUACAAUUUAGGAGUAAAUGGAGGAGAUGCUGAAAGGAGGCAAUUGUAAGCUAUGUAAACUUGAACCAGAACAGGUGAGUAUUUGAGUUUCAGGAGACUUAUCUAUGUCUCCAUUUAUGGCCACUGAAUUCAUAUGCAGAUUUGGCAAAUCACAAAGAAUCAGACCUAAAAACCACCUCUGAUGCAUGAAGUGUGAUUUGGGGUGCAAUUUCUGUACUUAAAAAAACCUGCAACCCCUGAGGACCCUGUAGGUUCUUAUGUUACUGCAGGUAAAAUCUGUGGCAACUUCAGCUUUUGGUAAGGUCUAGCUACUCAGUGAUAAGAAACUAUCUGGGACCUUCAACCUAAGUUUUUUGAGGUCCUUAUUACAACUGCUAUACUCUGACCAUACUUUCAUAAACUUUGGGAUGAACAAGCUCUGUAUGAAGCUCAGUGGUAAUAAAGCUGUCUCUCUUUAAAUCACAUUUCACAUAUCCACUACAUGGGAGGAAGAAGACCUGGCUUAUAACACACAAGUUCUUAGGUGACAUAAUACACAAUGUAAAAGGCGACAUUAUAGUGUGUGUCUGCUAUAGGCCACCUGAUCAAGAAGAACAAGUGGAUGGGGCACUCUACAGACAGAUAGAAGCAGCAUCACAUUUGCAGGACCUGGUCCUCAUGGGGAACUUCAAGCAUCCUGUUAUGUGCUGGACAGACAACAGAGCAGGACACAAGCAAACCAGGAGGUACCUGGAGCGCGUUCAUACUAACUUGCUCCUCCAAGUGAGUGACGAGCCAGUCAGGAGAGAUGCUCUGCUGGACCUCAUACUCACCAACAAGGAGGGAUUCACUGGGGAUGUGAAGAUCAAAGGCAGCCUUGGUUGCAGUGACCAUGAGAUGCUGGAGUUCAGGAUCCUGAGGGCAGGGAGGAGAGUGAAAAGCAAGACGACAACCCUGGACUUCAGGAGAGCAGACUUUGGCCUCUUCAAAGUUCUCCUUAGAAAAGUCCCAUGGGAUAAGCUCCUAGAAGGAAGUGGGGGUCUAGAAAGCUGAUAAUAUUCAAGGAUCACCUCCUCCAAUCUCAAGAGCAGACCAUCCCAGCAAGUAGGAAGUCAGGCAAAAAUGCCAGGAGGCCUGUGUGGAUAAACAAGGAGCUCCUGGCCAAAUUCAAACACAAAAAGGAACCAUACAGAGGGUGGAAGCAAGGAUGGGUAACCUGGAAGGAAUACAGAAACAUUGUCCGAGCAUCCAGGGAUGAAUUUAGGAAAGCUAAAGCCCAAAUGGAAUUGAAUAUGGCAAGGGAUGUCAAAGGCAAGUAGAAGGGCUUCUAUAAGUAGACAGGUGACAAAAGGAAGGGUAGGGCCUGCUGCUGAAUGAGGCAAGGGACCUGGUGACAAAGGACAUAGAAAAGGCUGAGGUACUGAAUGCCUUCUUCACCUCAGUCUUUACUAGGGAGACCAGCUUUUAGGAAUGCCAGGCUCCAGAGACCAGGGGAAAAGGCUGGAGCAAGGAAGAUGUACCCGUCAUGGAAGAAGAUCAGGUCAGGGAAGACUCAAUCAAAUUGAACAUACAUAAGUUCAUGGGCCCUGAUGGGAUGCACCCACAAGUGCUGAGGGAGCUGGCAGAUGUCACUGUGAGGCCACUCUCAAUAAUCUGUGGUCAAUCAUGGUGACUGGGAGGAGUACCCAAAGACUGGAGGGAAGCAAAUGUCACUCAUGUGUUCAAGAAGGAGCACCCAGGAAACUGCAGGCAGGUCCGCCUCACCUCAAUCCCUGGGAGGGUGAUGGAGCAGCUAAUCCUGGAAACCAUUUCCAGGCACAUGAAGGACAAAAAACACUUCAGGAGUAGCCAGGAUG